rnacentral:misc_RNA from 1 species
GAUGAAGAACGUAGCGAAAUGCGAUACGUAGUGUGAAUUGCAGAAUUCAGUGAAUCAUCGAAUCUUUGAACGCACAUUGCGCCCUUUGGUAUUCCAAAGGGCAUGCCUGUUCGAGCGUCAUUUGUACCCUCAAGCUUUGCUUGGUGUUGGGCGUCUUUUGUCUCCAGUUCGCUGGAGACUCGCCUUAAAGUCAUUGGCAGCCGGCCUACUGGUUUCGGAGCGCAGCACAAGUCGCGCUCUUAGCCAGCCAAGGUCAGCGUCCAGCAAGCCUUUUUUCAACCUUUGACCUCGGAUCAGGUAGGGAUACCCGCUGAACUUAAGCAUAUCAAUAAGCGGAGGA